GCGGGGCACUCACACACGCAUA
rnacentral:miRNA from 1 species